GUAAAAAAAAAAAAUGUUGAUUAACGUUAAUAUAUUCAUAACUGUAAAAGACAAGAAGGAUUAAGUGAGUGACU